rnacentral:lncRNA from 1 species
UUAUGUUUACAACUCCUAAGGCAAGUUCUAGGUAGCUAAUAUAGAAACAUGCAUUAAUGACAAUCCUAAAGAUAAAUAUCAAAACUUAGCAAUCUAUACUUGGGGCUAAUCCCUAAUAACCUAUUUAAACCCUAAAUCUAACAAAGAGAACUACUCAGACAUGGCCAAGCAAUUCAUAACAACAAUAAGGUAUAAAAACUGCAUUAGAUAAAUAGAUAGAUA